UCCUGAACCUCCCUCCCAUCUCCCACCCCAAGGUCAUUACUCCUAAAAUGAACAUACAUGCAGGCCAGCUGGGGACUGGGUUUAGUGCAGAUGGAUUCAUUGCAGAGGCAGAGGGAUCAAGCUUCCAAAAGACAUGGAUGGUGCUAGUCCUGGGGCUCACAGCACCAUUUUGGAUUUGUAGACAUGGGAAGGCCUCUCUGGUGGAGGAGGCAGAUGCCCAAAGAGAUGGGAUGGCAAGUCUAGCCUUUAAGGUCUUCCUUCUCCCACAGGUGGUUCGAAGGAAGAAGCAAUAACCAUGUAUAUCAGCUAAUUGUCCAAAUUGUAGAUGUCAACAAGACUAUCCUGGAUCAGUUCUCUAAGAGUAGCUUUCACAUCGGGCAGUGCAGAAGGAGAGAGCCCUUGAAGGUCAACCAUGUGUUCUCCAGCCUUGAGAAGGGUGUUCUCUUUGUGUCUGUGGAACAGUGGAUCUUAGUCAUGGAUUUCAACAAUGAGCCAAGUGGAGUCAAACUUACCAACACCAGUUUGCUCAACUCCAGUUUGAUUGUGCAGGUCACCUAUCCUAGUCAAGAGCUAUCCUUGGAGAACAACCACCCCAUGGAUGUCAGGAACUUUGCGUGCAGGCACACUGUUUCCCUAAUUAAGGACUUGUAGCUCCUGGCCAUCCUGGGAUCUCUUGGGUCCAGUUGAGGGUCCUACUAGAAGAAAAUUCCUGCUACUUCUAUAAGGCAGGCCCUGUUCUUCUGAUUGGAAACCCAUGGGUGAGCACAGGGAAAGGCUGGGUCAUGAAAGGGCUCCUCACCAGGGGCCCUCUGGUUCAGCCCCCCUGCCCUCUGCCCUUGUCUCCUCCCAGGCCUGCUGUAGAGGCUUCACUGGCCCGUGCAGGAAGCCCCCUCCUCAUGUCUGAACUGGAAGCUCAUUCCUAUGACCAAGAAAAUUCCAGCCCCUGUAGGGGAUGAAUUUCAUUUUGUGAGGUUUUAAGAUCAGGACCAAGACUCACAGCUGAGAGUGAACCAACUCAAAAAUGUUUGGAGACAGAGGGUUCUGCCCACCCUGUGAACAAUGAUGUGGUCCCCUGAGCCCAACCCUAUCCUGGAUCGUGUGGUGUAUAAAAUUGUUACAUUUUGAAAUUCUUUUAAAUAUGGAGAGAAUAAAUCAGGAAUAUCUCUG